AAAUUGAAGAGUUUGAUCAUGGCUCAGAUUGAACGCUGGCGGCAGGCCUAACACAUGCAAGUCGAGCGGUAGCACAGAGAGCUUGCUCUCGGGUGACGAGCGGCGGACGGGUGAGUAAUGUCUGGGAAACUGCCUGAUGGAGGGGGAUAACUACUGGAAACGGUAGCUAAUACCGCAUAACGUCGCAAGACCAAAGUGGGGGACCUUCGGGCCUCAUGCCAUCAGAUGUGCCCAGAUGGGAUUAGCUAGUAGGUGGGGUAACGGCUCACCUAGGCGACGAUCCCUAGCUGGUCUGAGAGGAUGACCAGCCACACUGGAACUGAGACACGGUCCAGACUCCUACGGGAGGCAGCAGUGGGGAAUAUUGCACAAUGGGCGCAAGCCUGAUGCAGCCAUGCCGCGUGUGUGAAGAAGGCCUUCGGGUUGUAAAGNACUUUCAGCGGGGAGGAAGGNGUAAGGUUAAUNNNNNNNNNAUUGACGUUACCCGCAGAAGAAGCACCGGCUAACUCCGUGCCAGCAGCCGCGGUAAUACGGAGGGUGCAAGCGUUAAUCGGAAUUACUGGGCGUAAAGCGCACGCAGGCGGUCNNUNAAGUCNGAUGUGAAANCCCCGNGCUCAACCUGGGAACUGCAUUCGAAACUGGCAGGCUAGAGUCUUGUAGAGGGGGGUAGAAUUCCAGGUGUAGCGGUGAAAUGCGUAGAGAUCUGGAGGAAUACCGGUGGCGAAGGCGGCCCCCUGGACAAAGACUGACGCUCAGGUGCGAAAGCGUGGGGAGCAAACAGGAUUAGAUACCCUGGUAGUCCACGCCGUAAACGAUGUCGAUUUGGAGGUUGUGCCCUUGAGGCGUGGCUUCCGGAGCUAACGCGUUAAAUCGACCGCCUGGGGAGUACGGCCGCAAGGUUAAAACUCAAAUGAAUUGACGGGGGCCCGCACAAGCGGUGGAGCAUGUGGUUUAAUUCGAUGCAACGCGAAGAACCUUACCUGGUCUUGACAUCCACAGAACUUUCCAGAGAUGGAUUGGUGCCUUCGGGAACUGUGAGACAGGUGCUGCAUGGCUGUCGUCAGCUCGUGUUGUGAAAUGUUGGGUUAAGUCCCGCAACGAGCGCAACCCUUAUCCUUUGUUGCCAGCGGUCCGGCCGGGAACUCAAAGGAGACUGCCAGUGAUAAACUGGAGGAAGGUGGGGAUGACGUCAAGUCAUCAUGGCCCUUACGACCAGGGCUACACACGUGCUACAAUGGCAUAUACAAAGAGAAGCGACCUCGCGAGAGCAAGCGGACCUCAUAAAGUAUGUCGUAGUCCGGAUUGGAGUCUGCAACUCGACUCCAUGAAGUCGGAAUCGCUAGUAAUCGUAGAUCAGAAUGCUACGGUGAAUACGUUCCCGGGCCUUGUACACACCGCCCGUCACACCAUGGGAGUGGGUUGCAAAAGAAGUAGGUAGCUUAACCUUCGGGAGGGCGCUUACCACUUUGUGAUUCAUGACUGGGGUGAAGUCGUAACAAGGUAACCGUAGGGGAACCUGCGGUUGGAUCACCUCCUUA
rnacentral:rRNA from 1 species